GAUGAACGCUAGCGGCAGGCUUAAUACAUGCAAGUCGUGGGGCAGCGCAGUGUAGCAAUACAUGGGCGGCGACCGGCAAACGGGUGCGGAACACGUACGCAACCUUCCCAAAACUGGUGAAUAGCCUUUCGAAAGAGAGAUUAAUACACCGUAACUUAAUGAAGUGGCAUCACUUUAUUAACAUAGCUCCGGCGGUUUUGGAUGGGCGUGCGACUGAUUAGGUAGUUGGCGGGGUAACGGCCCACCAAGCCUACGAUCAGUAACUGGUGUGAGAGCACGACCAGUCACACGGGCACUGAGACACGGGCCCGACUCCUACGGGAGGCAGCAGUAAGGAAUAUUGGUCAAUGGACGCAAGUCUGAACCAGCCAUGCCGCGUGGAGGAUGAAGGUCCUCUGGAUUGUAAACUUCUUUUAUCGGAGAAGAAACCCCGACAUUCUUGUUGGGUUGACGGUACCCGAUGAAUAAGCACCGGCUAACUCCGUGCCAGCAGCCGCGGUAAUACGGAGGGUGCAAGCGUUAUCCGGAUUCACUGGGUUUAAAGGGUGCGUAGGUGGGCUAGUAAGUCCGUGGUGAAAUCCCCGAGCUUAACUCGGGAACUGCCGUGGAUACUAUUAGUCUUGAAUAUCGUGGAGGUAAGCGGAAUAUGUCAUGUAGCGGUGAAAUGCUUAGAUAUGACAUAGAACACCGAUAGCGGAGGCAGCUUACUACGCGAUUAUUGACACUGAGGCACGAAAGCGUGGGGAUCAAACAGGAUUAGAUACCCUGGUAGUCCACGCCCUAAACGAUGGAUACUCGACAUACGCGAUACACUGUGUGUGUCUGAGCGAAAGCAUUAAGUAUCCCACCUGGGAAGUACGACCGCAAGGUUG
rnacentral:rRNA from 1 species